rnacentral:rRNA from 1 species
GACGAACGCUGGCGGCGUGCUUAACACAUGCAAGUCGAACGGAAAGGCCCUGCUUUUGUGGGGUGCUCGAGUGGCGAACGGGUGAGUAACACGUGAGUAACCUGCCCUUGACCUUGGGAUAACUUCAGGAAACUGGGGCUAAUACCGGAUAGGAGCUCCUGCUGCAUGGUGGGGGUUGGAAAGUUUCGGCGGUUGGGGAUGGACUCGCGGCUUAUCAGCUUGUUGGUGGGGUAGUGGCUUACCAAGGCUUUGACGGGUAGCCGGCCUGAGAGGGUGACCGGCAAAGUUGGGACGUAAUCACGCCCCGGACUCGUAGGGGGGAAGAAAGUGGGGAGUUUGAAAAAGUGGGGGGAGGCCGGAGGCGGCAACGCCGGGUGGGGAAUGGGGCCUUUGGGUUUGAAAACCUUUUGCGCCUGUAACAAAGGGGGGGUGAGGGUAAGGGAAAAAGAAGCCCCGGCAAACUCCGUG